GAAAUAUGAGGUUCGAAAAAAAGCUGCUAACUUUUUUAUUUAAUGGUUAAAUUCCAUUUAUAUUUCU
rnacentral:tRNA from 2 species